GGCUUGGUCGGGCGGUCCGCCUCACGGUGUGUACUGUCUGACUGAGUCUUACCUCUUGGUGAGCCGGCGUGCGCUUUAUUGUGUGCGUCGGGGAACCAGGACUUUUACCUUGAGAAAAUUAGAGUGUUUAAAGCAGGCUAACGCUUGAAUACAUUAGCAUGGAAUAAUGAAAUAGGACGAUCGAUCCUAUUUUGUUGGUUUCUAGGAUCACCGUA
rnacentral:rRNA from 1 species